CCUGCGGUGAAUACGUUCCCGGGUCUUGUACACACCGCCCGUCAAACCAUGAAAGUCACCCAACACCCGGAAGUCUGACAUUAGUCGGCCUAAGGUGGGGGGGAUGAUUGGGGUU
rnacentral:rRNA from 1 species